GAUGAACGCUAGCUACAGGCUUAACACAUGCAAGUCGAGGGGUAGCAGGGCCUAGCAAUAGGUUGCUGACGACCGGCGCACGGGUGAGUAACACGUAUCCAACCUGCCCUAUACUCGGGGAUAGCCUUUCGAAAGAAAGAUUAAUACCCGAUAGUAUAAUUAGAUCGCCUGAUUUGAUUAUUAAAGAAUUUCGGUAUAGGAUGGGGAUGCGUUCCAUUAGAUUGUUGGUGGGGUGACGGCUCACCAUGGCGACGAUCAGUAGCCGGACUGAGAGGUCGAUCGGCCACAUUGGGACUGAGAUACGGCCCAGACUCCUACGGGAGGCAGCAGUGGGGAAUAUUGGGCAAUGGGCGAAAGCCUGACCCAGCGACGCCGCGUGGAGGAAGAAGGUUUUCGGAUUGUAAACUCCUGUCUUCGGGGAAGAUAAUGACGGUACCCGAGGAGGAAGCCACGGCUAACUACGUGCCAGCAGCCGCAGUAACAC
rnacentral:rRNA from 1 species